UACGUAGGUGGCAAGCGUUGUCCGGAUUUAUUGGGUUUAAAGGGUGCGUAGGUGGUCUUGUAAGUCAGUGGUGAAAUACGGCAGCUCAACUGUCGAGGUGCCAUUGAUACUGCAAGACUUGAGUACAGACGAGGUAGGCGGAAUUGACGGUGUAGCGGUGAAAUGCUUAGAUAUCGUCAAGAACACCGAUAGCGAAGGCAGCUUACUAGACUGUAACUGACACUGAGGCACGAAAGUGUGGGGAUCAAACAGG
rnacentral:rRNA from 1 species